AAGAAAUGAUGCAUUAACCAAGCUGACACCCCUAAUCUUAGCGUAUUAUGAAAUGGACGCGUCGAUUCAAUUACACACGACUGGUUCACGGCUUCUGAGACUUACGUUUAUGAUUCGAAGAGUGAAAACGGAUACCAGUCGACUGCAUACACGCGUUUGUUUAUUCCUUUGUGUGUUGGAAAUUAUUGAUGGUCCUUCUGUCACUGUCCGUAAUUUAGCGAUUCGCCAAGCAAGCAGCAGAGGGAGUAGAACAGACCUCUUUUCUCGACUGCAGUGGCUUGGCAUUGGAUGCCCUAGCUUAAUAAGAAGAUUGACUCGACUUUUUAAUGCGAUUCUGUGUAUCACACAACUUACAAGACAAUAUGUUUCUUAUAUAUCUAUGAUCAUAUUUAGGAUACAUGUUAAUGACCAUUGUAAGAUUGUGUGUAACAUACAAGACUUGGGCCACUUGCAUCAAGGUCAAGUUCAGAUAUAGAAUUCAGCUGCAUACAGUCUACCACAUAGCUACUAAACCCUAUGAAAGGAGCUGUCGGUAUUUCCAUGGUGCAGCUAUCACCAGUUUCAAAAUGGAAACACCUGAUGGUGAGUCUCGAGCGAAAAAGAAAAGUGGACCUCUCCUAACAACUUCAAAGGAGAACAUUGUCUUGCAUAGCAUUUUUCUCCGAAGGGAUUGAUUCAAACAAGCACAUUGUGACAAGUAUCCCACUGAAGGCAAGUUCUACAACAAGGAAACGGACUCCACCAGUAUAUCGACGUUCAAAAAGGGCUUAAAUUUGUUUACCGGUACCGAUCAAAACUAUGCCAUAAGUCAUGAAUCACCCUCCAAUUAAAACAAAACAUAUGGAGAAGUCAGUCACUUUCAAAUCAAGGAACAAUUUAAGAUAUGAGACGAUUCUAAUGACGACAAUGAAUAUGGAGAAGUAUAAUGUACUUGAAAAUGUUUAAUGGAAAUAGAGGAAUGUGAAACUUUUUUGUAUUUAUUUGGAGCUCAUGAAAAAAGAAAAGAGUACUAAAAGAUAUUAUAGAAAUAUUUGAGAUAGAAUGUAAAAACUGGCCCUUCUUAGGGUCUGCUAAUUUAGGGCUAAAAUAAAAUAAAAACAUAUAAUCGACUUCUUUUCGUGAAUCGAUUGAUGGAUUUUUUUCUGUAGCAUUAUUAAAAGAUCCUCGCAUUAAACACGGUUGGGGUUAUAGGAAUGGUCUCCUUCUGACAUAUAUGAGCCAUAUAACUCAAACCUAGACUGAAAGAUUUUUAGCUAACCUUAGCACAAAGUGCUAAAAGGUGAGCUUUUGUGAUCGCCCUGUGUCUGUCGUCGUCAACAAUUGGACUGUUAACACUCUAGAAGUCACAAUUUUGGUCUAAUCUUAAUGAA
rnacentral:lncRNA from 1 species